rnacentral:rRNA from 1 species
CCUACGGGGCGCUGCAGUGGGGAAUAUUGGACAAUGGGCGAAAGCCUGAUCCAGCCAUGCCGCGUGUGUGAAGAAGGCCUUCGGGUUGUAAAGCACUUUCAGUGGGGAAGAAAGCCUUGGGGCUAAUACCCUCGAGGAAGGACAUCACCCACAGAAGAAGCACCGGCUAACUCCGUGCCAGCAGCCGCGGUAAUACGGAGGGUGCGAGCGUUAAUCGGAAUUACUGGGCGUAAAGCGCGCGUAGGCGGUCUGAUAAGCCGGUUGUGAAAGCCCCGGGCUCAACCUGGGAACGGCAUCCGGAACUGUCAGGCUAGAGUGCAGGAGAGGAAGGUAGAAUCCCCGGUGUAGCGGUGAAAUGCGUAGAGAUCGGGAGGAAUACCAGUGGCGAAGGCGGCCUUCUGGACUGACACUGACGCUGAGGUGCGAAAGCGUGGGUAGCAAACAGGAUUAGAUACCCCAGUAGUC